rnacentral:rRNA from 1 species
GUACACAAAAAUGCACAUAUUGUGAGCUCGAUGAGUAGGGCGGGACACGUGGUAUCCUGUCUGAAUAUGGGGGGACCAUCCUCCAAGGCUAAAUACUCCUGACUGACCGAUAGUGAACCAGUACCGUGAGGGAAAGGCGAAAAGAACCCCGGCGAGGGGAGUGAAAAAGAACCUGAAACCGUGUACGUACAAGCAGUGGGAGCACGCUUAGGCGUGUGACUGCGUACCUUUUGUAUAAUGGGUCAGCGACUUAUAUUCUGUAGCAAGGUUAACCGAAUAGGGGAGCCGAAGGGAAACCGAGUCUUAACUGGGCGUUAAGUUGCAGGGUAUAGACCCGAAACCCGGUGAUCUAGCCAUGGGCAGGUUGAAGGUUGGGUAACACUAACUGGAGGACCGAACCGACUAAUGUUGAAAAAUUAGCGGAUGACUUGUGGCUGGGGGUGAAAGGCCAAUCAAACCGGGAGAUAGCUGGUUCUCCCCGAAAGCUAUUUAGGUAGCGCCUCGUGAAUUCAUCUCCGGGGGUAGAGCACUGUUUCGGCAAGGGGGUCAUCCCGACUUACCAACCCGAUGCAAACUGCGAAUACCGGAGAAUGUUAUCACGGGAGACACACGGCGGGUGCUAACGUCCGUCGUGAAGAGGGAAACAACCCAGACCGCCAGCUAAGGUCCCAAAGUCAUGGUUAAGUGGGAAACGAUGUGGGAAGGCCCAGACAGCCAGGAUGUUGGCUUAGAAGCAGCCAUCAUUUAAAGAAAGCGUAAUAGCUCACUGGUCGAGUCGGCCUGCGCGGAAGAUGUAACGGGGCUAAACCAUGCACCGAAGCUGCGGCAGCGACGCUUAUGCGUUGUUGGGUAGGGGAGCGUUCUGUAAGCCUGUGAAGGUGUGCUGUGAGGCAUGCUGGAGGUAUCAGAAGUGCGAAUGCUGACAUAAGUAACGAUAAAGCGGGUGAAAAGCCCGCUCGCCGGAAGACCAAGGGUUCCUGUCCAACGUUAAUCGGGGCAGGGUGAGUCGACCCCUAAGGCGAGGCCGAAAGGCGUAGUCGAUGGGAAACAGGUUAAUAUUCCUGUACUUGGUGUUACUGCGAAGGGGGGACGGAGAAGGCUAUGUUGGCCGGGCGACGGUUGUCCCGGUUUAAGCGUGUAGGCUGGU